rnacentral:rRNA from 1 species
GAUGAACGCUGGCGGCGUGCCUAAUACAUGCAAGUCGAGCGAACGGACGAGAAGCUUGCUUUUCUGAUGUUAGCGGCGGACGGGUGAGUAACACGUGGAUAACCUACCUAUAAGACUGGGAUAACUUCGGGAAACCGGAGCUAAUACCGGAUAAUAUUUUGAACCGCAUGGUUCAAAAGUGAAAGACGGUCUUGCUGUCACUUAUAGAUGGAUCCGCGCUGCAUUAGCUAGUUGGUAAGGUAACGGCUUACCAAGGCAACGAUGCAUAGCCGACCUGAGAGGGGGAUCGGCCACACUGGAACUGAGACACGGGCCAGACUCCUACGCGAGGCAGAAGUAGGGAAUCUUCCGCAAUGGGCGCAAGCCUGACGGAGCAACGCCGCGUGAGUGAUGAAGGUCUUCGGAUCGUAAAACUCUGUUAUUAGGGAAGAACAUAUGUGUAAGUAACUGUGCACAUCUUGACGGUACCUAAUCAGAAAGCCACGGCUAACUACGUG